rnacentral:rRNA from 1 species
UACGUAGGGGGCUAGCGUUGUCCGGAAUCAUUGGGCGUAAAGAGCGCGUAGGCGGCUAGAUAAGUCCGGUGUGAAAGUCACAGGCUCAACCUGUGAAUGCCGCUGGAAACUGUCUGGCUAGAGUCCGGAAGGGGCGAGUGGAAUUCCUGGUGUAGCGGUGAAAUGCGCAGAUAUCAGGAAGAACACCCGUGGCUAAGGCGCUCUCUAGUACGGUACUGACGCUGAGACGCGAAAGCGUGGGGAGCGAACAGG